GACGAACGCUGGCGGCGUGCCUAAUACAUGCAAGUAGGCCGCAGUUGCGAACGGGUGAGUAACGCGUAGGUAACUACCUAUGUGAGGGGGAUAACUAUUGGAAACGAUAGCUAAUACCGCAUACUAGUAGAUUGACCUGCCUUGUAUUAGCUAGUAGGUAGGUUAGUGGCCUACCUAGGCAACGAUACAUAACCGACCUGAGAGGGUGAUCGGCCACAAUGGGACCGGGAUGAGGGCCAGACUCCUAGGGUAGGCAGCAGAAGGGAAGCUUCGGAAAUGGGGGAAAACCUGACGGCGCAACACAGCGUGAGUGAAGAAGGUUUUCGGAACGUAAAGCUUUGUUGUUAAGGGAGCGGUACUUAACCAGAAAGGGACGGCUAACUACGUGCCAGCAGCCGCGGUAAUAC
rnacentral:rRNA from 1 species